UACAGAGGGUGCGAGCGUUGUCCGGAAUUAUUGGGCGUAAAGAGCUCGUAGGCGGUUUGUCGCGUCGAAUGUGAAAACCCGGGGCUCAACUCCGGGCCUGCAUUCGAUACGGGCAGACUAGAGUUCGGUAGGGGAGACUGGAAUUCCUGGUGUAGCGGUGAAAUGCGCAGAGUAUCAGGAGGAACACCGGUGGCGAGGGCGGGUCUCUGGGC
rnacentral:rRNA from 1 species